GUGAAAGACGGUGGCUCAACCAUCGUUAGCCAUUGAAACUGGUAGUCUUGAGUGCAGACAGGGAUGCUGGAACUCGUGGUGUAGCGGUGAAAUGCUUAGAUAUCACGAUGAACUCCGAUCGCGAAGGCAGGUGUCCGGGCUGCAACUGACGCUGAGGCUCGAAAGUGUGGGUAUCAAACAGGAUUAGAUACCCUGGUAGUCCACACAGUAAACGAUGUAUACUCGCGGUUUGCGAUAUAAUGUAAGCCGCCAAGCGAAAGCAUUAAGUAUACCACCUGGGGAGUACGCCGGCAACGGUGAAACUCAAAGGAAUUGACGGGGGCCCGCACAAGCGGAGGAACAUGUGGUUUAAUUCGAUGAUACGCGAGGAACCUUACCCGGGCUUGAACUAAGAGUGACAGAUUUAGAGAUAGAUCUUUCUUCGGACACUCUUGGAGGUGCUGCAUGGUUGUCGUCAGCUCGUGUCGUGAG
rnacentral:rRNA from 1 species